UCAUAGGAUCGACGCAGAUUUAUUAUUAACAAUAGAACAAAAAGUUGUACGAUCAGAUGGUUAGUUGGAGUGCUUUCGACUAGUGAUGAUACCGAACGACACUUUUUUUUUGAAAUAGAAUAUGCCUCCAGACGGCGGUUGGGGAUGGGUCAUUGUUUUGGCAAUGUCAAUAAAUAACCUCUUGACAAUACCCAUGAUGCAAAUAUUUGGAUUUGUUUUUGGUGAUAAAUUACACGACAUUGGUUUAUCUGCCAUUAAUAUAUCCGUCAUCACCAACACAAGUCAGGCGUUUGGCCUACUUCUGGGUUUUAUUAACGGAGCCUUACUUAAAAAGCUAGGCUAUAGGAAAGUUGCUUUCGCAUCUGCUUUCUUUAUAUUUAUAGGAUUUUUCACAACUGCCUUUGCAAACAGCUUCACAACGUUCCUUAUUACUUAUGGAUUAAUUUAUUCUACUGGAACUGGAAUGGCUAAAUCGGCCUAUUUUGUGGCACUUAAUACUUUCUUUUUAAAGCAACGUAGUAAAGCUUUGGCCUUAUCAUUUACCAUUUCCUCGUUAGGGCCAAUAUUACUUCCACAACUUGUACCCUACUUAUUAUACAGUUAUGGUUUAAAAGGGACUGCAUUGAUUCUGGCAGCAAUUCUUAGUCAUACAUUCGUGGCAGCGUUACUUUUACAGCCAAUUGAAAAACAUGAAAAAAUGGACCCAGAAGAUGAUACUGUAAACGCAUACCACAAGGAAAUUAUAACAAAGUCAUCUGAUGUCACAGAUAUAAAACCAUCGUUUUAUGAUUUCGGUAGUACAGAUGAUUUGGAUAUUAUAAACAGAAGUACUUUAUCUUUAUAUACCGAAAGAAGACCAACGAAAAGAAGAUUUUCGAACAAAAUGUACACUUCAUUAAUAUCUUUUUCUGAAGACACCCCGGAUAAACCUGUCUCAGUUGAUAAUAAUAUAAUUAAAUUGGGAAUUGAAGAUGAUUUGAAUGCGAAGGAAAACCACCUAAUAAACCGAAAGAAAAUUUUCGAAUUUUUUAAAAGCGCUUCCAAGCUAUUCGAAUUAUCAUUAAUCGUUGAUCCGAUUUUUAUUAACAUCAUAAUAGGAAUUUCGUUGGCAAUGUUUGUGGAUUUAAAUUUUGCCAUAUUAACUGCUUUGAUGUUAACUGACUUCGGACUAGAGAAAAAUCAGAUAGCCACGUUUAUGUCUGUUCAGUCAUCUGCAGAGCUGAUUUUUAGAUUCGCUGCGCCCUACGUUGGAUGCUGUUUAAGCGAUUCUCCUAGAAUAUUGUAUAUGAUUUGUCUAAUCUUCUUAUCCAUAAGCAGAUUUUGUAGUAUUCGUAUGGGUGCAGGGAUUUACACUUUUGCUUGUAUCUGCUGUUUGUAUGGGAAUAUUUAGAGGAUUAAGAACAAUCUACAUGAAUCUUGUAAUUCCAUCGUAUGUUCCUCUCGAAAAAUUACCUGGCGCAUCAGGAAUUCAACUGUUUUUAAAUGGAAUAAUGUUUCUAGUUGGCGGUCCCAUUUUAGGAUUUGUAAAGGACGUUACUGGUUCGUACAGAGGAUGUGUUAUUUUGAUGAACUGUCUAAUGCUUCUCGGUGUUUUUAUGUGGGCCAUAGAAAUGAUGAUUGUUAAAAACAAAAAGAAGACAGUGGAUCAAACAUAAAGUUGUUCAUUUGUUUCGAAAUAGGAAAACAGAAUUUGAUGCAAAUAAGACACAGAAAUUAUAUGUACAAUAAUAGAUACGCGCUUCUGCAACAUCUGUGAUAAUUGAGAUAAUAAAAUAAAUAUAAUUUCUAUAAUGUAUUUUUAA
rnacentral:misc_RNA from 1 species